rnacentral:rRNA from 1 species
GACGAACGCUGGCGGCGUGCUUAACACAUGCAAGUCGAGCGGUAAGGCCCUUUCGGGGGUACGACGAGCGGCGAACGGGUGAGUAACACGUGGGUGACCUGCCCUUAGCUCUGGGAUAAGCCUGGGAAACUGGGUCUAAUACCGGAUAUGACUCCAUGACGCAUGUUGUGGGGUGGAAAGCCUUGUGCGGCUAGGGAUGGGCCCGCGGCCUAUCAGCUUGUUGGUGGGGUGAUGGCCUACCAAGGCGACGACGGGUAGCCGGCCUGAGAGGGCGACCGGCCACACUGGGACUGAGACACGGCCCAGACUCCUACGGGAGGCAGCAGUGGGGAAUCUUGCGCAAUGGGCGAAAGCCUGACGCAGCGACGCCGCGUGAGGGAUGACGGCCUUGGUUGUAA